UACGGAGGGAGCUAGCGUUGUUCGGAAUUACUGGGCGUAAAGCGCACGUAGGCGGAUCGUUAAGUCAGGGGUGAAAUCCUGGAGCUCAACUCCAGAACUGCCUUUGAUACUGGCGAUCUUGAGUUCGGGAGAGGUGAGUGGAACUGCGAGUGUAGAGGUGAAAUUCGUAGAUAUUCGCAAGAACACCAGUGGCGAAGGCGGCUCACUGGCCCGAUACUGACGCUGAGGUGCGAAAGCGUGGGGAGCAAACAGG
rnacentral:rRNA from 1 species